rnacentral:rRNA from 1 species
AAUAGAUACCCAGGUAGUCCACGCCCUAAACGAUGUCUACUAGUUGUCGGAGGGUAACUCCUUCGGUAACGCAGCUAACGCGUGAAGUAGACCGCCUGGGGAGUACGGUCGCAAGAUUAAAACUCAAAGGAAUUGACGGGGACCCGCACAAGCGGUGGAUGAUGUGGAUUAAUUCGAUGCAACGCGAAAAACCUUACCUACCCUUGACAUGCCACUAACGAAGCAGAGAUGCAUUAGGUGCCCGAAAGGGAAAGUGGACACAGGUGCUGCAUGGCUGUCGUCAGCUCGUGUCGUGAGAUGUUGGGUUAAGUCCCGCAACGAGCGCAACCCUUGCCAAUAGUUGCUACGAAAGGGCACUCUAUUGGGACUGCCGGUGACAAACCGGAGGAAGGUGGGGAUGACGUCAAGUCCUCAUGGCCCUUAUGGGUAGGGCUUCACACGUCAUACAAUGGCUGGUACAGAGGGUUGCCAACCCGCGAGGGGGAGCCAAUCCCACAAAACCAGUCGUAGUCCGGAUUGCAGUCUGCAACUCGA